rnacentral:pre_miRNA from 1 species
UUGGAUGUGUCAGGUAGGCAGUGCAUUGCUAGCUGGCUAUUUCAUUUUAACAGUUGCUGGUUGCGCUCCCCUCUGUUGCAUUCGAA